UGUUAAUCCACACAUUUGUUUGUGCUAUA
rnacentral:piRNA from 1 species